GACGAACGCUGGCGGCGUGCCUAAUACAUGCAAGUCGAACGAGUGGCGGACGGGUGAGUAACACGUGGGAACCUACCCAUCAGAGGGGGAUAACACUUGGAAACAGGUGCUAAUACCGCAUACGAUAUGAUGGACACGCGGUGCCUUAGCUUGUCGGUAAGGUAACGGCGUACCUAGGCGACGAUCCCUAGCUGGUCUGAGAGGAUGAUAAGCCACACUGGGACUGAGAGACGGCCCAGACUCCUACGGGAGGCAGCAUUGGGGAAUAUUGCACAAUGGGCGCAAGCCUGAUGCAGCCAUGCCGCGUGUAUGAAGAAGGCCUUCGGGUUGUAAAGUACUUUCAGUCGGGAGGCGUUACCGACAGAAGAAGCACCGGCUAACUCCGUGCCAGCAGCCGCGGUAAUAC
rnacentral:rRNA from 1 species